AACAAACGCUGGCGGCGUGCCUAAUACAUGCAAGUCGAACGGGGAAAGCUUUCGGGUGAGUACUAGUGGCGCACGGGUGAGGAACGCGUGGAUCAUCUGCCUUAGAGUGGGGGAUAACUAGUCGAAAGAUUAGCUAAUACCGCAUAAGUCCACAGGGGCUGCGGCUCAAGGGGUCAAAGGUUUUUCGCUCUAAGAUGAGUCCGCGUAAGAUUAGCUAGUUGGUGAGGUAACGGCUAACCAAGGCGACGAUCUUUAACUGGUCUGAGAGGAUGAUCAGUCACACUCGAACUGAGACACGGUCCACACUCCUACGGGAGGCAGCAGUAGGGAAUAUUGCAAAAUGGAGGAAACUCUGAUGCAGCGACGCCGCGUGAGGGAGGAAGGCCUUCGGGUCGUAAAGCUCUGUCGCAGGGGAAUAACACAAUGAAGGUACCCUGUAAGAAAGGAUCGGCUAACUUCGUGCCAGCCGCCGCCGUAAUAC
rnacentral:rRNA from 1 species